GAUGAACGCUGGCGGCGUGCCUAAUACAUGCAAGUCGAGCGAACGGACGAGAAGCUUGCUUCUCUGAUGUUAGCGGCGGACGGGUGUGUAACACGUGGAUAACCUACCUAUAUUACUGGGAUAACUUCGGGAAACCGUAGCUAAUACCGGAUAAUAUUUUGAACCGCAUGGUUCAAAAGUGAAAUACGGUCUUUCUGUCUCUUAUAGAUGGAUCCGCGCUGCAUUAGCUAGUUGGUAAGGUAACGGCUUACCAAGGCAACGAUGCAUAGCCGACCUGAGAGGGUGAUCGGCCACACUGGAAGUGAGACACGGUCCAGAGUCCUACGGGAGGCAGCAGUAGGGAAUCUUCCGCAAUGGGCGAAAGCAUGACGGAGCAACGCCGCGUGAGUGAUGAAGGUCUUCGGAUCGUAAAACUCUGUUAUUAGGGAAGAACAUAUGUGUAAGUAACUGUGCACAUCUUGACGGUACCUAAUCAGAAAGCCACGGCUAACUACGUG
rnacentral:rRNA from 1 species